GUGACGGUCCACGCCCUUGGUUACACCCGGCUGGAUUCGCAGCAUGGACUGUCAACGGCUAUUUGACAAAUAGUGGACAGAAGCAACAACCUGUGCUGACACUAUAUAUCAUUAUCAUAGUUAAGUAUUCAUUUUCUGUAGUUUAUAAUAUCAAAUACCUUUUUUUGUGUGUUUUCCUUCAAUCUUGUCUUAUUUACCCCAAAUAAUUUUUGCCUACAGAAUUUGGUGGUGAACUUUGACCUGCCUUGUUCAAACCUACCCAGUAAAAAGAACUCAGCACUGAGUCAAAAACACAACCUCUCUACUGUCGAUUAAAAAAGAAGCUCUGAUGUUUAUGUCACAAUGAAUCUAAUGUUCACCAUCUCUAAAGUCCUCUGAAUCUCAUAUCCCCUUCGGAUUGAUGCGCGAUGCUUUCACAGAUUGGAAUUUAAUGCUUGCGAUGUGUCAGCUGAUGACAUGCUGUCUGAUUUAUUAAAUUAUUAGGGAUUUCUUUCUCGUGUGCCGCGACAGAUUCCGGGAUAUGCAGAGGUCUCGGGGUGUGGGUGGGACACGGCGGUUGCCAUGGCAACGUUCUCCCUGGUCAGGGUGUGGGGGCCUGUUCGGGGCGUGAGAUGUCCUCCUGCGGGCUCAGAUAAAGAUGGAGCUUCACCUUGGUUAUUGCACCAGCACCCCGACCUCUGACCCCUGACAACGAGGUCAUCCAACCAAAUGGAGGUCAACGACCAGAGGACUCAUCUGCAGCUUCCUGUGUCUCUGCCUUCAUGUGCCGAGAAUCUGCACACACACACGACUGACGGUGGUGCUUAUCUGCAUAUUAUGAUUAAUCUCCCAAAUAUUUCAGCACCUACGCUCUGAUGCUGUUGUUAGCUGUGUACUUUUAAUACCUUUUGUAAAAUCUUUUUCAUCUCCAUUUGCCCUUGAACUAUAAAUUCAAUUUUACAUGUUAA